rnacentral:rRNA from 1 species
UAAGGCUAAAUAUCUCCACAGAACCGAUAGCGAACAAGUACCGUGAGGGAAAGUUGAAAAGCACUCUGGAGAGAGAGUCAAAAGACCGUGAAACCGCUCAGAGUAUAAGCCCAUGGCAGCUUGGAAGGCAUAUCGCUAGCGGGGCAUCGGUCUCCCUUCACGGGGAGCUGGUGUUACCUUGCUUCUGUUGUGGCUCGUCACGGUAGGGGGGUCAAGUCCACAUCCCGCCGACGUGUGGGGAGUUCUCGGGCGCGUUGGGUUUUUCGGUUGGCUUCGGCCGCGCCGUUUUAGCUCCUCGCGCUUGGUUCUCUUUCAACACGGACGUUCAGACUCAAAGGCAAGACGCGAUAAACAGCCCACCACGGCACGUUGUGAGGUCACCCACAGGCUCAACUUUUGAUUGUGAUCCUUGACGCCGAGCAAGUUCAAUGCGUGUCGCAGAUGUUCCUAACCAGGCUUUGCCAGGAUGGUGGAACGACACGCGCUCAACAGUCAGGAUCGGGCGAUGACAGAGUUCUGGUAUGAUCCUCUUGCGACGAGCCGGCUUCUGGCCAACUUCCGAUGCUCAGGUCUCUCGCAUGUGCCGCGAGAGAUCGCCUUGACGGUCUGGACCUAAUGCAAGUCCUCUCAGUCGGGCAACGGAAAGAGUGGUGUAAAGUCCAAGCCCAUCGGUCACGUCUCGAAACACGGGCC